UGUGAGUUAGGAGUAUUUGAUCUGCUUUUAGAGUCAGGAGGCUUCCUCUCUUCAGCGGAGAUCGCUGAACGCCUGGGCACCAGCCACAUGGGAAUGGAAAAGUUGCUGGAGGCCUGUGUGAGUUUAAAGUUACUGAGGAUGGAGAAGAAGGACAAUGAAGGUUUUUAUGGAAACACAGACCUUGCCAAUCUCUGCCUUGCUAAAUCAAGUCCAAAGUCCCAGUGUCAGUACAUACAGUUUUACUCUGAGUUUGUUUAUACCUGUUCGCAGUACUUGACAAAAGCUGUAAGGUAAGAAGUAAGCAAAAACUAUUAGGCAUGGGAA
rnacentral:lncRNA from 11 species